ACACCUUAGCCUGUGUCUGUCCAGUGUCUUUCCUUUUUUGGUUCCUUCCUGCUCCUGUCCUCUGUUCUCGUGUUUUGUUUACCUGUCAUGUUUCCCAGCCAUGUGCUAUUGUGUUUUGGUCAUGUCUCCGCCUUAGCCCCGCCUUGUCAUCUGUAACCCCUCCUGUCUCCUUUGUAACCCCGCCCCCUCAUUACCUCCACAGGUGUCCCUAGUGUGUGCCUGUGUAUAAAUACCCCAUGUGCUCCUUUGUAGUUUGUCGCAUCUUUUGUCUCAAUUUGUCAUGUUACUCUGUCCAGAUUGUGUUCAUCUGUUUUGUUUAGCCACAGACCUGCUGUGUUGUUUGUCCUCAGUGUCUCAGUGUUCUUUUCUUUGUUAGUUUAAAUAUGGAAAAUAAAAAAGACUUGCGUUUA